rnacentral:misc_RNA from 1 species
GAUGAAGAACGUAGUGAAAUGCGAUAAGUAAUGUGAAUUGCAGAAUUCAGUGAAUCAUCGAAUCUUUGAACGCACAUUGCGCCCCUUGGUAUUCCGAGGGGCAUGCCUGUUCGAGCGUCAUUAUAACCCCUCAAGCUCAGCUUGGUGUUGGGGCCUGCUGCACUGGCAGCCCUUAAAAUCAGUGGCGGCGCCAUCUGGCUCUAAGCGUAGUAAUUCUUCUCGCUAUGGAGUCCUGGUGGAUGCUUGCCAUCAACCCCCAAUUUUUCUAUGGUUGACCUCGGAUCAGGUAGGGAUACCCUCUGAACUUAAGCAUAUCAAUAAGCGGAGGA